CAACACCCGCGUCAUGAAUUAAACUAAUAGCAUAAAUAGGUGGACUAGGACCUUCAGCAAGUUGGGCCAUCCAUUAGCCCUAUAAAGGGCUGUCAAACAUUGGGCCUAAUAUCAACUCAAUUUGGAAGUGCUCCUAACAAUCCAUGGUUCAGCCAAAUAACUUGAUUCAAAGGCUAGUCACAUUGGGCUUGUUGUUACAUUACUGGGCCUUCACUUUCAUACAGAUUUUAAUUUGAGUCUAUUAACAGUUUACGUAACACAUGAAAUGGUCUAUUUAAAUUAGAACAUAUUGAUCUCUAGGUUCAGGUACAUAUUCAAUUCACGGGCAUUAAAGAACCAAUACACUUGACCUGGGGUUUUAACAGCAAUUCAAAGCAAUUCGUAAAUCCCAAACUAUUGAAAUGCAACGUAAAUACUGUUUUUAAAAAUAUAAUUAGUCCUUCUAAAAUCACAGGAAAUGCUUUACUUCCUAUAUGAUAAGUAUAUAGGAUGGUCCUAGAUUCGAAUCAUGAUAAUAUGUUCUAAGGCUACUAACUAAAUAAAAACUAACGUUGUUAGCCCAAAUAUCACAUUCGAGGCUUAAGCCAUAAAUUAGCAUAAUAGCUAAACUACAUUGACUACACUACAAGCAAAUAACUUCAAUCAGAAUCGAUUCUAACUAACCCAAUGUCCUAAGGCUAAAUUUAGUAUUAUACUAACCAAAAUCAGUAAAUUAAUAGCUGUGGAAACAAUAAAAUCAAAAAUGCAAAGCAAUGACUACACACGGAAUUCUACAGUUGAAAUCAAAUCCAAUGACCAAAAUGUAAUCAGAACCAAUUAAAACCUGAUUCAAGGAAUACUAGAGAUGAAUGAAAGAACAACAAAAAUCAGAAACUUAUGCAAAAAGGAAAAAUAAAUAUAAGAAUAAAAAUCAACAAACAAGGAGAAAUGCUAACCUUAUCGAACUAAAUUAAUCAAUAAGAAAUCAAAUUGAAGACUUAAAUAAAAUUAAGUGAACCUAAAAUACUGCAUGAUUGAACUGAUUUAUAGAAGAGCAGAUUUAAACUCAUUUUAAAAGCAAGGGAUUUAAAACAAAAUAAAAUAAAAUAAGAACUUAUCUAUGCAGGGCCAUCAAUAGGUAUUGGGCUUCGCUUUGAGAAUUCAAGGGAAAAAUCACCAUUUUCGAACUUUCUAGGGUUCUGCCUAUCUGUGAUUUAAAAUUCGAGCAGCUCAGGUGAUAUUCGAAGUAAAAUACCAAUUGAUUUGUGGUGAGGGAGGUAUAGGGGUUUUUUGGUGUGAUUUUGAGGCGUUUUGAAAUAACGCUGCCGGACAUGGCAGAGCCAGCAGUCAUUUCCUUGAAUAUUCGAGACGAUUGGUGGAGAUUUGAGAGAAACCAGGCCCAAAUCUAGAAAGGAGAGGUGGAGGAGCAUCUAUGGUGUAAUUUUAGGAUGAUUUGGAGAAUAGCCGCCAGUGGAGGCGAUUUCCGGCCGGCGGCGAAUGGACGGUGGGAGACAGUGGCGUUACACCGGUGUAUGUUGGGGGUGUUUUGAGAGGUGAUUGAGGGGUAGAGGGCUGUUUGGACACUUUUAUACUGUAAAACUUAGUUAGUUCCGGACCGUUGGAUUGAUUAGAUCUAACAGUCGUGAUUCAAAGACCAUAAACGACGUUGUUUUGAUGGUUAAUGAUGUUGGUUCGGGUUAGGGUUUGGGUUUGGAAUGGAUUUGCGGGUUGGGC
rnacentral:lncRNA from 1 species